AAACAAAAAACAAUGAUUCAUUAAAAUUAACACUUUAAAAUGGUUCCUUCUUAAAAGGCUCAAUCACAGCCAUUUCCAGUGUUCUUGAAAAUUCCAUAAAAGUUCAGGAAGCUGACAAAUGCUUCUUUAAUUCCUUUCUCCACAGGAAGCCUGUUAGAAAUAUCCUAAAAGGUAAUGGGGACCAUCCUCAAGGGUUUGAGUAGUAUUUGUACAUCCCAUUUACACUGACAAAGAUUAAAGAUACAUCCAGAUUGCCAGACUGCUGGGAAAUACAACAGGAAUAUCCAGCAAAGAAGAAAAUGACCAGUGGCCCAGGAUCAAGAUGAAAGACACCAAGUGGAGGCAAAGGAGCAAAGAGGAUGGAGAAAGAACAAAGGGACAGCACUGAAAGCACGCAGAAAGGGACAGUGAUACAAAAAAGAUCUU